UGACCGCAUGGUCCUCUGGGAAAGCUUUUGCGGUAUGGGAUGGGGUCGCGUCCUAUCAGCUUGAUGGCGGGGUAACGGCCCACCAUGGCUUCGACGGGUAGCCGGCCUGAGAGGGCGACCGGCCACAUUGGGACUGAGAUACGGCCCAGACUCCUACGGGAGGCAGCAGUGGGGAAUAUUGCACAAUGGGCGCAAGCCUGAUGCAGCGACGCCGCGUGCGGGAUGACGGCCUUCGGGUUGUAAACCGCUUUUGACUGGGAGCAAGCCCUUCGGGGUGAGUGUACCUUUCGAAUAAGCACCGGCUAACUACGUGCCAGCAGCCGCGGUAAUACGUAGGGUGCAAGCGUUAUCCGGAAUUAUUGGGCGUAAAGGGCUCGUAGGCGGUUCGUCGCGUCCGGUGUGAAAGUCCAUCGCUUAACGGUGGAUCCGCGCCGGGUACGGGCGGGCUUGAGUGCGGUAGGGGAGACUGGAAUUCCCGGUGUAACGGUGGAAUGUGUAGAUAUC
rnacentral:rRNA from 1 species